rnacentral:rRNA from 1 species
GAGGACCGAACCGACUAAUGUUGAAAAAUUAGCGGAUGACUUGUGGCUGGGGGUGAAAGGCCAAUCAAACCGGGAGAUAGCUGGUUCUCCCCGAAAGCUAUUUAGGUAGCGCCUCGUGAAUUCAUCUCCGGGGGUAGAGCACUGUUUCGGCAAGGGGGUCAUCCCGACUUACCAACCCGAUGCAAACUGCGAAUACCGGAGAAUGUUAUCACGGGAGACACACGGCGGGUGCUAACGUCCGUCGUGAAGAGGGAAACAACCCAGACCGCCAGCUAAGGUCCCAAAGUCAUGGUUAAGUGGGAAACGAUGUGGGAAGGCCCAGACAGCCAGGAUGUUGGCUUAGAAGCAGCCAUCAUUUAAAGAAAGCGUAAUAGCUCACUGGUCGAGUCGGCCUGCGCGGAAGAUGUAACGGGGCUAAACCAUGCACCGAAGCUGCGGCAGCGACGCUUAUGCGUUGUUGGGUAGGGGAGCGUUCUGUAAGCCUGCGAAGGUGUGCUGUGAG